AACAAAAAACAAAACAAAAAAAACUGGUAUGCAAAAAGAACCGAAGAGCAAGUUCCUUUUCACUGAAAUGAUUGAAGAUAUCUGCGACUGUUCUAAGGAGACAGAAAAGACUCCAUCUGAAAUAAAAGAAGAAAAGUGACAAUGCGAUUCAUCCGAAUCACCGUGAUAAAAUGCUGCAUCCGCCAGACACCCAUAACCGAAUACUCACAUAUAAGAGAACCGAUAGAAAUGAAAGAACACCAGAACAUCAUUUUGGCUUAACUUCAAAAUCAACGGUUGCAACAAAAAACCCAGAAUUGUUGUGCACCAGCAAUUAGAUAUCCAUAUGCUGUUCCAGGAAAUGACGCUCGGGUGAUUUUACCCAAUACUAGGCGAAGGCAUUGCACCUUAGCAACUUCAGUUCGUUCCAAAAAGUAAAACAUACCCGCGUCUCUAACUCCCCUACAGUUUUGCGUCAACUUGAAAUCUGCACAGUUAUCGGAGCUUCUCAGAAAACAGGUGCUGAAUUAAUUGAUCUGCACCAGGAAGGCCCUUUAUCAGGUAUCUGCAGUCUGUGAAUGACGUCGCGCUAGAUGAGUGCUGUCCGUGGUCCUGAAUAAUAGAUAUCUGCGACUGUUCUAAAGAGACAGAAAACACUCCAUCUGAAAUAAAAGAAGAAGUGGCAAUGCGAUUCAUCUGAAUCACCGUGAUAAAAUGCUGCAUCCGCCAGACACCCAUAACCGAAUACUCACAUAUAAGAGAACCAAUAGAAAUGAAAGAACACCAGAACAUCAUUUUGGCUUAAUUUCAAAACCAAUGGUUGCAACAGAAAACCUAAAAUUGUUGUGCACCAGCAAUUAGAUAUCCAUAUGCUGUUCCAGGAAAUGACGCUCGGGUGAUUUUACCCAAUACUAGGCGAAGGCAUUGCACCUUAGCAACUUCAGUUCGUUCCAAAAAGUAAAACAUACCCGUGUCUCUAAGUCCCCUACAUUUUGGGGCGACUUGGAAUCUGCACAGUUAUCGGAGCUUCUCAGAAAACAGGUGCUGAAUUAAUUUAUCUGCACCAGAAAGGCCCUUUAUCCGGUAUCUGAAGUCUGUGAAGGAUGUCGCGCUAGAUGAGUGCUGUCCGUGGUCCUGAAUAAUAGGGCGGAAUGGUCCCAACGGUGCUUCCCCCUGAAGAUUGAAAACUGGCAACAGUGGACCCAAGCGAUGUGGAUGGGGCAUCGGGAGCGCAGGUUGGCGACUGGGUGGUUGCAGCAGCUGGCAGAGAAGUAAGCUCCGGAGAGAGCAGGAGACCAGGCAACAGACUGUGCCUGGCGAUGCAGUGACCAGCACCCUCUCUGGCACUCAGCUGCCUGGAAAGUGGAGACUCCUACAAGACCCAGUGACUGCCAGCGCUUUCACGAAGAGCCCCCACCACCUCAAGAGGAUUGAUGUCCAGACUCAGUCUGUUGAAAACCAUGCCUCUUCUACCCAACACUUGCGUCUCUUCCCUAGUGCACAUAUUGUGUAACUUCCUAAGGGUCCUACUGCUUGCAUUUGUCUUUCAGAUGAGACUCAUCUGGCCCCCUAUGCUCUUGCACAAUUGAAGUGGGAGUCCUUCUACUUGCUGUUUUUGCUGCCAGUUAUGAGUUGUUGGCUUUGUAUUUAAUAAAAACUUGAA